AAGUAAAAUUAUUAUGACUUAAUAACUUGUUGGCGAUCUUUCGACCUAUCCAAAUAGGAUUCAAAUAGGUAGGUAUGUACUAAUAUUAAUGUUUUUCAAUUCUGUAAUCGUAACUGUUGCCAUGACAACUGCAUUCAUGCAUGAAGUUAUCCUAGAGUUAAUUUUAGGUGGUUGAUUAUUAAAAUAUUUGGCAAUUUUUUGCGUUAUUGAUUUUAUAGACAGUAAAAGGUGUGUUAGAAAACGAAUAUCAAGGUGAUCGGAACGUAUCAGUAAGAUUUUGACAGAUUCCUUAGCGCAAAAUGUCAGUGUAGAGCGUAAUAGGUUAUGUUGUCUAUAUUUAGUAAAAAUGUAAUUAGUAACAUAAAUUAUUAGUUUUGUUGGUUAAAAACCAAACAUGACGACUUCACCCACAAAAGCGAAGCAAAAACUAUCACUGCGAAAACGCCUAUUUGUAAAAAAAUCUCCGAAAGUUGGAUGCUUCGUCGAUACGGAUUCCAACGAUGAAUAUGGGCAGUCCUCAUCGCGACCGAUCUCUCCUGCUGAUCCCUUCCUAGCUCAAAGUGCUCACAGUGCGGACCACAGCAUAGAAGCCCCUCACGCUCAAAAUGUAUCAUCAGAACCUUUGCUUAACAACGUUACUCAUAGCGCGACAAAUUCCCACAAUGAUGACGACAAUAAUCCAAAGUGUUGUAGAACAUUCUUCAGGCGGUCUCGCCCUAAAAGUCUGGUCGACAACCACCUUUCUAAAGAAGACGCACGUUCAGUGACUGGAAGUCCAGAGAAUAAUUCCAACAGUAUCAGUGACCAAACAAUUUGCUCUCAAACAAAAUCUGAAGAAAUACCCAAAGCUACAGUCAAGUUUCCUAAAAGUGAUGAUGCUAAGAAAUGUUUUGAACAUUCAGGAUCAUUUGAAGGAAUCAAGCCAAAGAGUAAAUUAUUUGUUAAGAGAUUAUCAGCUGAUCAUUUGAUAUCUACUGAGUCGAAGCCCUUAUAUCGCGCGUCUUCGCCGGAGAGUGACAGGAGUAGCUCUUUAGAUCGAAAAAGAAGGACUAAGUCGACUAUUGCAAGGUCAUCCUCGCGUGCUGGAAGCACUGACAGCUUAGCUCGUAACUCGCUGCUUGCUGCACAGGUGCUGCGUCUCAUUCCCACACAGGAGGCUCGAGAAAGGAACUACUUAUAUGGGCGUCUAGCAUCCCACUCCCUUCUAGGUGCAGCUGAGUUAGAACAUGUCUUCCCAGAUAGGGAAGUAAGAAUAUUUGUAGGAACAUGGAACAUGAACGGACAACCACCACCAAAGGAACUAGCUGAUUUCAUAUUCCCAAAUCAAGUAACUCAUGUACCAGAUAUAUUUGCUAUCGGUACACAAGAGUCGUUCUCAGAGCGUACAGAAUGGGAGAUCACUAUACAAGAAGUAUUGGGACCAUCACAUCUGUUGUUACAUUCUUAUUAUUUAGGCACAAUCCACUUAAUGAUAUUUAUAAGGAGAGACCUAAUUUGGUUCUGUUCUCUCCCUGAAGACGCAAGCUUGUCAGUCAGACCUGGUACAGCAUUUCGUACUAAAGGCGCUGUCGCAAUUUCCUUCGCGUUAUUUGGCUCCACAUUUUUAUUUGUGACUGCCCAUUUGACUGCUCACCAAGAGAAGGUCAAAGAACGAGUGUCUGAUAUCAAGAGGAUAAUUAGGUCUAUCGAUUUGCCAAAGAAUUUGCCUUGCAGGCAUAAAAGUAAAGAUGUGACCAACAAUUUCGACUAUGUAUUUUGGUGCGGAGACCUAAACUUCAGAUUGGGAGAACCCAGGGCUGCCGUGUUGCGGUGGAUAGAGCAAACACAGUUUCCAUUGCCUCAUCACCUACCGCACGGCUUGCUCCACGCGGAUCAGUUGACGGCUGUGCUCGAAGAUGGCGCGGCUUUCCGCGACUUCAGGGAAGCUCCCAUCACGUUCCCGCCUACUUAUAAGUAUGACCCUGGCAGUCAACAGUUCGACACAUCGAGCAAGCAGCGAGCUCCGGCGUACACAGACAGAAUACUGUAUAAAGCGAGGUCGAUGACCUCGAAUUCAUCCUCUGCGUUUUCUGGGUUGCGGCGCAUCAGCGCAGUGCCUGUGACAUCGGGGGUCAAGUGCCUGGCAUACAACUCCGUGCAGUCGGUUUGCACGAGCGACCAUAAGCCUGUAUGGGGACUGUUCUCUACUAUGCUGAGGCCGGGGACUGAUGUUGUACCCCUAGCUGCGGGGUUAUUCAACCGCGAAGUGUACCUGGAAGGUAUCAAGCGCCGCCGCGCACUGCUCGACCACGCGCCCGGCACCUCUGCGGUAUGUAAUGUUCAAUAACAUUAACUCACGUUAUUAUACAAUUACAUCAAUUUUUAUGUUCACGACUCGAUACUAAAAUGUUUAAAAAACCAAUCGUAAACUGUACCCAAUGUAUUAAAUUUUAAAUAGUAGUCCAACCUCCUUGAUUUUCGAAUGUCUUUUUCCUGACCAAUGGGCUUUUAUGGCCAGUAACAAAUAGUAUUGCGUUUACCAAAGAGGUUUAUAUUUUUGUUGUUAUACUUUUUAUUUACACUUUUCAAAAUGUUUUAUUUGUUAUUUAUUUAUUAUGUCCUAAGUUAGAGUAAGUGGACAGAUGUGCAAUGUUCAAAACGACGAUUUACAUGUUUAUAUUUAUUAUUAGGUUUAAAAUUUAUUAUGCUUAAUUUAGUUUUACUUUUGUAAUGUGCUCAUUCUGAAAACGAAAAAGACAAAUCUAGUCAGUAUAAUGAAAUGCAUCAGUAUUCCUUACAAUAAUUUUAAUGUGAAUUAAAACUUAUAAUUUUAAUGACUAUUAAUUAUCCUAUAUUUUCACGUAGCUCGACAUUGUUUAACAUAUUAUAUUCUUCGUAUAUUAUUGUGCUGUAAACAAAUGAUAUACUUUGGCUUUAGCUUAGCAAUAAAAAAAUAUGUAGAAUAUUAUUUCGAUGUGUAGUGAUAUCAAAAUCCUGUUUAGAAAAAUGAGCUUUUAUUAUAAACAUAAAACGUAGGUACGUAUCGUGGAGUUUCUAAAACAGUACAUAAUUAAUUAAAAUAUUUCCUGCCUUAUACCACUGUGUUAAUACCGUCGAAUGAAGUGUUAAGAACAUUUCUCAGAGUUAAUAAAACUAUGUUAAUUAGGUGCUGUGAUUAGUAUUCGUCUAGUCUGAUGUCCAUUCCAGUUACCGUUGUAGUCUCGAUGUUCUAGAAUCGUUUGUGUAUCUGUCGUUGCCAUGUCGUGGACUUCUACACUAUAUAAAUGUUCGAUAGUUGUAUGAAUUGAUCACAUUUCAUGAAAUGUUUCUGCUUAUUGACCGCAUCAUCGCGGUAUGGGUAAAUGAAUGAUAACAAAUCGUUUCUUGGUAGGUGUUCAUGAAAUUGACAAGUUUAUUUGAUAAAUCAUUCAUUUUAGUACUUGAACUUCGGCUGCUGAAAACUGACUGAAGUUCUUAACAUAUUCUGGAUUUUCAUAGAAUAUAAUAUGCAUGACCAUUUAAUAUUCCUACCCAAUAAAAGUUUCCUCCAUCAUGAAAUGCGACCUUUUUAUAAAAGUAUCAAGUGUUUAGUGAAGUAAACAAAUGUCCGAUAUGGGUACGACAUAUCUAUAGUUAUAUAGUGACAAGAUCUCACUACGUAAUAAAGGUUCCAAUUUCGACUUCAAGGAGUAUUCGCACAAAUGAGGCGCAAUAUCACGUCCAACGUUUCGUCCUUCAAUUUGUAGUAAAUAAUUGAGAUUUAACAGCAAUUAUUUCAACUAAGGAAUAAUUCAUAAAGUUAUAUAGUAAAAAAAAUCGAUUCAGAAGAAACGUAACUUGUUCUCACAAUACAUUGUAUUGAUACAGAGAUUAUAAAGAAAGGCAAAGAGAUAUUUUCAGUUUUCCAAAUCAAUUAUUUGAAUUGUUUGUGGUAUUCAUAUAAUUAGGUUUGUUAUUUAUAAAUUAUGAAUAUGUAGUCUCUUUGGGUGCCAGUUUAAGAUACUGCCAAACCUAGUAUCAGAUAUUUCGUAUUAUGUAUUACAAAUUUCUUACCGACCAAUAAUAUUCGUGUUUUUAAUGAAACCUAGAAUAAAAUGUCCCGGUCUUAGAUCAGUGUGACAAGAAAAAAAAUUAGAAUGUUGUAGCAGAUUUGGUGUUAUAAAUGUGGGAUUAAUAAAAUAAAAAAGUUGAGUGUUUAAAAGUAUUUUUUCAUAACUUUUCGAAAAGUAGUCUGAUAGAUGAAGUUUAAAAUUCGACUGUGUAGUUGGCCUAGACAUAGAAUUUGUAUUGUCAAUUGUCUGACUGUCUAGGUAAACAUCUAAAUUAUGAUUAUGAGGUCGCCAAACUAUACUUGGCAUUUUCGAACUUUUUGAUCCAGCUCUUUUAACAGCAUGCGAAUGUAUAAAUUCAUUUAAAAUUAAGUAUAUUGACUAGUUACUUAUUUCUCUCCGGGUGUUAAAUUAAGCUUUUUUAAUUAAUCACUAGACCAAUGAGAAUUCCAUAAAAUCAUUCUAAGUAAAUCAGUCUGUCUUCCAUACUUGUACGUAACAUAUUUAUACAUUAUUUGAAUCGGGAUCGUUACCUGAAAUCUAGGCGUCUACAAACUUUAUAGGAAUUGUGUAUUCAAAAUUUUUGUACAAUCACACACAUAAUGCUAAAUGUUGCGUCAGGCCAAUUACCUUCUAUGAAGAGAUGAAAUCGACGUCAUUGACAUUAUGUUUGCGACUGUACGUUACGUAUUCUUGUGUAUUAUUCAAAAUGUAAACUUUUUUAACCAUUACCAAAUUUUCUUACUUUAAUAUUAGUAUCUGCUUUUGCAACAUAUAACACUUAUUUUAGCUUAAAUGCUGUAGUUAAUUAAAUUUUAAUGUCGCACAAAAUAUCAAAAUUCACGUUUACAUUCGUUUCCACUUCUUUAUUUAAUAAAUAUUAACACAAAUGUAGUUAUAGUAAGAGGCUGGUUGAUACAUGAUAUUCGAUGAAUAAAGUACAAUGUUUUAUAAGAAUUUUAUAUCUACAUACGUCAUAUUAUUUUUCUGAUAUACACGUUUGGUCUACAUAAAUGUGGAAAGUACGUGUAUAAUCGCGAUGAAAAUCUCAUAUCCACAAUACUGUUGUAUACGAACGUACAUACUCCUACAUGUAUACCAAAUAUGUAUAAGAGACAAACAGAGAUGGUAUAUUGCUAAUAGUUUUUAUUUUGUACAAGGUUUUUUUCUGUAAUACUUAGUUAGCUGAACAAAUUAGUUAUAACGUUGAUUUUUACUUUGGAUAGGUCCUGAGAGGGGAGAUGACUGCGACAGAAUAUUUACAAGCAAGAAUUCUCAAACAUAGUGUUCUAUGCAACAUCUUAAAUAUAAGGUGAACUGGGUAUAGGGCUCGUGAAUGCCUACAAAUACAAAUAUAUUUUUUUAUUUAUACAAUCUUGCUUGAUUGCUGAAUGGUUACACAAUUGAGUACAGUAUUAUGCCUAUUCGCUAGCGCAAUAGUCAGUAGAUUUUUGUCGCAGUUAUCUAGUCUUUAUUUAUUAAUUGAAUUGGUUAUGAUUUUCAUUCAAUGAAAUAAAAUGUAUUGUCAUUAUUGUGAAUUAUAUUGCUAGUCCAUAUUUUAUAGAUAUACUUAAGUUAUAACUUACUUAAGUAAAAAAUGUUAUGCUAAAUAUAGUUAACUUUCCUCGCUAA